rnacentral:misc_RNA from 1 species
CAGAGUUAUCCAACUCCCAAACCCAUGUGAACUUAUCUCUUUGUUGCCUCGGCGCAAGCUACCCGGGACCCAGCGCCCCGGGCGGCCCGCCGGCGGACAAACCAAAACUCUUGUUAUCUUAGUUGAUUAUCUGAGCGUCUUAUUUAAUAAGUCAA